rfam:Xiphophorus maculatus strain JP 163 A Contig369.9, whole genome shotgun sequence.
AUAUUUCGAAAAAAAAUCAGUUUAAUAUCUGAUAGUCCUCUACACGAGGACCAAAUAUUAAAUUGAUUUUUGGAACAAGGAGCUGGAUCUGGGGUUUGCCUCGUCCACUUCACACAUCGUCCUGGUAUUGCAGCAUCUCCAGGAACAGUGCACCUCCA